CCUACCGAUUGAAUGAUCCGGUGAACACUUUGGAUUUUCGGAUACGUUUGAGUAUCUGGGAGAAGUCGUGUAAAUCUUAUCAUUUAGAGGAAGGUGAAGUCGUAACAAGGUU
rnacentral:rRNA from 1 species